UAGUCCACGCUGUAAACGAUGAUUACUAGAUGUUCGGACUUCGGUCUGAGUGUCCAAGCGAAAGCGAUAAGUAAUCCACCUGGGGAGUACGUUCGCAAGAAUGAAACUCAAUGGAAUUGACGGGGGCCCGCACAAGCGGUGGAGCAUGUGGUUUAAUUCGAUGAUACGCGAGGAACCUUACCUGGGCUACAAUGCCUCUGCUACACCCUGAAAGGGGUGGUUCCUUCGGGACAGAGUGCAAGGUGCUGCAUGGUUGUCGUCAGCUCGUGCCGUGAGGUGUUGGGUUAAGUCCCGCAACGAGCGCAACCCUUACCUUUAGUUGCCAGCAUUUAGUUGGGCACUCUAGAGGGACUGCCGACGUUAAGUCGGAGGAAGGUGGGGAUGACGUCAAGUCCUCAUGGCCCUUAUAUCCUGGGCUACACACGUGCUACAAUGGCGUAUACAGAGGGAAGCAAGACCGCGAGGUGGAGCAAAUCCCACAAAGUACGUCUAAGUUCGGAUCGGAGU
rnacentral:rRNA from 1 species